rnacentral:rRNA from 1 species
GAUGAACGCUGGCGGCGUGCCUAAUACAUGCAAGUCGAGCGAACAGACGAGGAGCUUGCUCCUCUGACGUUAGCGGCGGACGGGUGAGUAACACGUGGAUAACCUACCUAUAAGACUGGGAUAACUUCGGGAAACCGGAGCUAAUACCGGAUAAUAUAUUGAACCGCAUGGUUCAAUAGUGAAAGACGGUUUUGCUGUCACUUAUAGAUGGAUCCGCGCCGCAUUAGCUAGUUGGUAAGGUAACGGCUUACCAAGGCAACGAUGCGUAGCCGACCUGAGAGGGUGGUUGGCCACACGGUAACUGAGACACGGUCCAGACUCCUAGGGAGAGCAGCGGUAGAGAAUCUUCCGCAAUGGACGAAAGCCUGACGGUGCAACACCGCGUGAGUGAUGAAGGUCUUCGGAUCGUAAAACUCUGUUAUUAGGGAAGAACAAAUGUGUAAGUAACUAUGAACGUCUUGACGGUACCUAAUCAGAAAGCCACGGCUAACUACGUG